AGUCGAGCGGCAGCACAGAGGACUCGUUCCUUGGGUGGCGAGCGGCGGACGGGUGAGUAAUGCCUAGGAAAUUGCCCUGAUGUGGGGGAUAACCAUUGGAAACGAUGGCUAAUACCGCAUGAUGCCUACGGGCCAAAGAGGGGGACCUUCGGGCCUCUCGCGUCAGGAUAUGCCUAGGUGGGAUUAGCUAGUUGGUGAGGUAAUGGCUCACCAAGGCGACGAUCCCUAGCUGGUCUGAGAGGAUGAUCAGCCACACUGGAACUGAGACACGGUCCAGACUCCUACGGGAGGCAGCAGUGGGGAAUAUUGCACAAUGGGCGCAAGCCUGAUGCAGCCAUGCCGCGUGUAUGAAGAAGGCCUUCGGGUUGUAAAGUACUUUCAGUCGUGAGGACGGUGGUGUUGUUAAUAGCAGCAUCAUUUGACGUUAGCGACAGAAGAAGCACCGGCUAACUCCGUGCCAGCAGCCGCGGUAAUACGGAGGGUGCGAGCGUUAAUCGGAAUUACUGGGCGUAAAGCGCAUGCAGGUGGUGGAUUAAGUCAGAUGUGAAAGCCCGGGGCUCAACCUCGGAACCGCAUUUGAAACUGGUUCACUAGAGUACUGUAGAGGGGGGUAGAAUUUCAGUGUAGCGGUGAAAUGCGUAGAGAUCUGAAAGGAAUACCGGUGGCGAAAGCGGCCCCCUGGACAGAUACUGACACUCAGAUGCGAAAGCGUGGGGAGCAACAGGAUUAGAUACCCUGGUAGUCACGCGUAACGAUGUCUACUUGGAGUUGUGGCUGGCCGUGGCUUUCGGAGCUAACGCGUUAAGUAGACGCCUGGGGGAGUACGGUCGCAGAUUAAACUCCAAAUGAAU
rnacentral:rRNA from 1 species